rnacentral:rRNA from 1 species
UACGUAGGGGGCAAGCGUUGUUCGGAAUUACUGGGCGUAAAGGGCGCGUAGGCGGCACGGCAAGUCAGGAGUGAAAGGCCUGGGCUCAACCGAGGAACUGCUUUUGAGACUGCCGAGCUAGAGUGCAGAAGGGGCAACUGGAAUUCCCAGUGUAGCGGUGAAAUGCGUAGAUAUUGGGAAGAACACCUGAGGCGAAGGCGGGUUGCUGGGCUGACACUGACGCUGAGACGCGAAAGCGUGGGGAGCGAACAGG